GGCCUUCAUGUUCUCUAAGGUCAGUCACCUUUGCCAAACCACACAAUGAAGCCUCAGGUCAAGAAGGUUUUAGUCUAUGGGACACUCAGUCAUCACCUAGAGAGACAGAACCCUGCUAAACCUUCACUGCCGGUUGGCUUCAUCUCUGUUUGCGGUGGAUCUUUCGUCUCUAUAUGUCGUGCUCCACCCCAGGAGGCUUUGCCUUCACCUCUCCGCUCCUCUGCAAUUAAGGCUGACAGGAGAGCUUGCUCUAUUCCGCUGAUGCCAGUACUUAUAAAGAUGGAGAGAGAGAGCUCAGAUAUGUUCAUACAUCAGUCAAGGCCCCUUUCCAACCACCCAGCCAGUCUCCAUCCAUGCCAGUCUGUCUGUUGUUCUCAGUUUUUCUUUUUUACUUUAAUUUUACAACUGCCACUUGGGAGACUGAAUUGAUAUAAAUGGAUUUUUAGGAUAGUAUGUUGCUCAGGUAGCAGUGUGAUACUGUAAGUAGCAUUGAAAUUCUCUAGAAAUCACAAAUGUUGGGUUAAAUAAAAUGCAUUUAAAAGUUUAUUCA
ensembl:lncRNA